UACGAAGGGUGCAAGCGUUACUCGGAAUUACUGGGCGUAAAGCGUGCGUAGGUGGUUCGUUAAGUCUGAUGUGAAAGCCCUGGGCUCAACCUGGGAAUUGCAGUCGAUACUGGAAAGCUCGAGUUCGGUAGAGGACGGCGGAAUUCCCGGUGUAGCGGUGAAAUGCGUAGAUAUCGGGAGGAACAUCGAUGGCGAAAGCAACCGUCUGGGCCUGAACUGACACUGAGACACGAAAGCGUGGGGAGCAAACAGG
rnacentral:rRNA from 1 species